rnacentral:tRNA from 1 species
GGGGGUGUGGCUCAGUGGCAGAGCACUUGCCUAGCAUGCAAAGGCUUUGUCUCCACUCCUA